AUGAACGCUGGCGGCGUGCCUAACACAUGCAAGUCGAACGAAGCGCCUGGCCCCGACUUCUUCGGAACGAGGAGCCUUGCGACUGAGUGGCGGACGGGUGAGUAACGCGUGGGCAACCUGCCUUGCACUGGGGGAUAACAGUUAGAAAUGGCUGCUAAUACCGCAUAAGACCACGGUACCGCAUGGUACAGUGGUAAAAACUCCGGUGGUAUGAGAUGGACCCGCGUCUGAUUAGGUAGUUGGUGAGGUAACGGCCCACCAAGCCGACGAUCAGUAGCCGACCUGAGAGGGUGACCGGCCACAUUGGGACUGAGACACGGCCCAAACUCCUACGGGAGGCAGCAGUGGGGAAUAUUGCACAAUGGGGGAAACCCUGAUGCGGCGACGCCGCGUGAAGGAUGAAGUAUUUCGGUAUGUAAACUUCUAUCAGCAGGGGAAGAAAAUGACGGUACCUGACUAAGAAGCCCCGGCUAACUACGUGCCAGCAGCCGCGGUAAUACGUAGGGGGCAAGCGUUAUCCGGAUUUACUGGGUGUAAAGGGAGCGUAACGGCUGUGGUAAGUCUGAUGUGAAAACCCGGGGGCUCAACCCGGGACUGCGUUGG
rnacentral:rRNA from 1 species